rnacentral:rRNA from 1 species
GACGAACGCUGGCGGCGUGCUUAACACAUGCAAGUCGAACGGAAAGGCCCUGCUUUUGUGGGGUGCUCGAGUGGCGAACGGGUGAGUAACACGUGAGUAACCUGUCCCUGACUUUGGGAUAACUUUAGGAAACUGGGGCUCAUACCGGGUAGGAGCUCCUGCUGCAUGGUGGGGGUUGGAAAGUUUCGGCGGUUGGGGCUGGACUCGCGGCUUAUCAGCUUGUUGGUGGGGUAGUGGCUUACCAAGGCUUUGACGGGUAGCCGGCCUGGGAGGGUGACCGGCCACAUUGGGACUGAGAUACGGCCCAGACUCCUACGGGACGCAGCAGUGGGGAAUAUUGCACAAUGGGCGGAAGCCUGAUGCAGCAACGCCGCGUGCGGGAUGACGGCCUUCGAGUUGUAAACCGCUUUCGCCGGUGACGAGGCGUGAGUGACGGUAAUGGGUAAAGAAGCACCGGCUAACUACGUG